AGGGUUCGAUCCUGGCUCAGAUUGAACGCUGGCGGUAGGCUUAACACAUGCAAGUCGUGCGAGAAAGUAUCUUCGGAUAUGAGUAGAGCGGCGGACGGGUGAGUAACGCGUAGGAAUCUACCUAGUAGAAGGGGAUAGCCCGAGGAAACUCGGAUUAAUACCGUAUACCUCCUUCGGGAGAAAGAGGGCCUCUCUUUGAAGCUUUCGCUACUAGAUGAGCCUGCGUAAGAUUAGCUUGUUGGUGAGGUAAAGGCUCACCAAGGCUACGAUCUUUAGCGGGUCUGAGAGGACGAUCCGCCACAUUGGGACUGAGACACGGCCCAGACUCCUACGGGAGGCAGCAGUGGGGAAUAUUGGACAAUGGGCGCAAGCCUGAUCCAGCCAUACCGCGUGUGUGAAGAAGGCCCUAGGGUUGUAAAGCACUUUAAGUUGGGAAGAAAAGUUAUUGGCUAAUAUCCAAUAACCGUGACAUUACCAUCAGAAUAAGGACCGGCUAAUUCCGUGCCAGCCGCCGCG
rnacentral:rRNA from 1 species